ACGUCAGUGUAGGGUUUGUGUUGAAUCCGUCAAUCUCUGUUAAAAGUACGCAGCAUUUAAACAUUUUCUUGAUAUUAAAUUAUAUUAUUCAACACUAAUAUUAGACCUCUCUCGUCUACAUUAAUGUUUAAUAUGUCGACCGUUAUGUUAUUUGUUUGCACUGAACUUCACAUUCUAUUAAUAUUAUGCAGUGCCGGACUGGGAGAACCGGGACUUUUCCCGGUGGGGUGGCUGCGAAAUGGGGCCGCAUGGGUCGCCGCGUUAUGCAGAACGCGCCACAAAACAGCGUCGCGACAUUUAAACGAGAGGGCCUUCAGGACAAACGGAAACAGAACGUAACAUGGUUGCUAUGACAGCACGCCACUCUUUAACAAGCACGAGCGCUUUGAGUGAGAAGGGAACAAAUUCCCUCUGGAAAGGAAUGUAUGAGUUACAUUUUAGGAGAGUUAUAAUGAUGUAAAGAGAAAAGAAAAUAGAUUUUACAGGUGUACUUUUAGUCUAAUACUUUAAUUAUAUAUCAAUAUAAUUAUACAUAUGAUAUACUCUGCACUCAUUUACUGAGGUACUUCAACUUUUAAUGUAAUUAACAUUACUUGCGUUUGAACAUCAUAUUUACUGGCAAAUUGGCGUUAUUUUUUAGACAUUUCCAAAGCAAAGAAUUGUGGGUUGUGAGUUCCCAUGAAGGAUACACCUCAUGCGUCCUCCAAAUUCCCAUGAAAGAAGGUCGCAUCCGAAGGCUGCAUUCGAAGUGUCCUACUCGCUUUUCUGAAACGAGACAGCCUCGAUGAUGUAUGCGGCCGAGAAAUGCGACGUAUCCCUCCAAACGAGACACAGGCAGAGACGAGGUAUCCUCCAUGGAAGACCAGCUGACACACAGCAAAACUGGAAGGCAACCACAUACCCGACACACGGGCAAUCAACAGAUACACAGGAUCAACUAGGCAGAGAGAGUGAGCUGUUUUUUGAAGACAGAAAGUGAGUCAGCUUCACGGAUGGAGUUGGGAAGGUCGUUCCACCAACAUGGUACGAUGAAACCGAAAGUCCGGUGAGUGUUUUGGUGCCUCUUUGUGUUGGUACAACAAGGCGGCGUUCCUUAGCCGACCGCAGGCUUCUGGCGGGGACAUAGCUCUGCAGAAAUGAUUUUAGGUAUGCUGGUGCAGACCCAUUGACUGUUCUGUAUGCCAGCAUCAGAGCCUUGAAUUUGGUACGUGCAUCAACCGGCAGCCAGUGAAGAGAGACAAGAAGUGGUGUAACAUGCACUCUCUUUGGUUCAUGAUGUGCUGCUGCAUUCUGGAUCACUUUUGAAUGCAGAUCUGCGGUGUAUGAGACUGGAAAUGCCAGGGAGAAGAAGGUAAAGAUUGCAUUUUACCAUAAUAAUGCUUUAAAAGUAUAAUAUUGUGCAUAAUCUGAGUUUCUACGCCCACUGUGUCACUAUCAGAAGGGCAUGCAUGCACUGACAACCUCUGAAACUUAAUGACAUCUACCUGAAAUAAACGAACUCUGGAACAUAACCUACUCCAGAACAGGUUAUGUUCAGAGAGUAAGUUGCUAUGGCUACUACAUACCCCGAAAGUUACCUCAGUUUUUGGAACCGAAAGUUGAGGUUAUCCACUUACUCUGAGUAAAUAUACAGGGGUAAGUCGCUUAACCUACUUUCUUGAAUACCCCCCAGCAGAGAACUUGAUGGAAUUGUUUGCAAUGCAGCACUGUAUUACUGAUAUUCCUCAAACAUUCACGGUUUGGGGUUUGUUCUAAAUCGCUAACCAUAAGCAUUAAACUUCUGCAAUUAAAGGUGCUGUAUACAAUUUGUUUUGUACCAUGCAUAAAAAGUCCCAACUAAAAUUCAGGUAUGACUGAAAUGGGUAUCGUAAUAGAUCAAACCUGUCUCUGUGACAACUCUACAAUGUAAACAACAAAAAUAAUUGGAGGAGCAGCCCGCCCUUAUUUUAGCCAAUCAGAAACACUUAUUGCUUUUCACAUGGAGGUUCAUUGACACCGGAUUGGCUGUCAUGUCUUAGAAGUUCAGGGUUUUGGAGAAAGGCCGUUAGCAUUAGCAAACCAUACAGCCCUUUUAAUUUAGCUCGAUCUGCCAACUUUACAGACUCCAUUCCAACAUUGUUUCGUUUAUAUUUUCAGCCAUAGCUGUGUUGCCUACUUCAUCACUUUAUAUUUUAAGAAAUGUAAGAUUUAAGUUUAAAAGUCUCCCUUUGACUAACAUUGAUAGUAGACCUGUUUUCAGCAUUUAGAAUGUAAUCAACAGUGACGUAAUUUUAAUAUUUGCAUAGUGAUUUGUGAUCUUCCUUUCUUGAAUCUAUUUACAACCAACAGUUCUGAGGAACUUAUUACCAUGCAUUUUCUUUGUUGGUAUUGUUCUUGGUGUUUUAUGAUGCAAAUGUUGUUGUUAAAAAGGCUGACUGCCCAUAUUUUGAACACAUUAUGCAAUCUAACUAAAUAUUAUCCAUACAAAAUUGAAAAAUGAUGGUGCGUAUCAAUAAGCUCCCUAGUUUAGUAUUCAGGGCACUGACCAGGGAGUCGGCCAUUUCUAGGGCAAAAUCGUUUCAGUGCAUUGAAAUGUUAGCACCUUAAAAAUUCCCAGAAUGCACCAUAAAACAAGGGAGCAUCGCUGCUCACUAUGUUCCCUAACCGGAAACACAUCAUGUCUUCUGAAGACUCUCUCAAGUCUUCUGAAGCUUCUCACUCAAGAAGACCAGUGCAAGUGUAAAAUUAUGCAGUGAAAGCCUAAUUUUCUCUUUAAAAGAGGUGUUGUUUGUGAUAUCUUUCAUCUUUUCAUCCAAACCAUCGUGCAUUUAAGGGAAAAAACAUUUAAAUAUUUCAGCUUUAGGCAGAAGAUUAAAAAUACACUCCUUUGUAUUUUUAUUUCUUCAUUUAUGUAAUUUAUCUUUCAUUAAAAACAUUGUAAGUUUUAAUUCACAACACUGUAAUUUAUACAGCAAUGUUGCUGAUUAAUAACAGAUGCAUUUAAAUGCCCGACCUCUUUAUUGUGUCGCAGGUGAUUUGAGUUACAAGUGACCCAAUGUUCAGUGGAUAAACACCUAAACAGUGCCCAAAUUCGUGUUCACAAUAUACUGAUUCACAACAUAGGGAGCGAGAUGAGACGCACCCAUUAUUUCUCUGAAGCCUAUGGAUGUGCCUCACAAAAGCAGACCAAUACAUAGUUGAAGUCAAACUACUGCAAACUACUUAUCCCAUUGAUUUCUUAUUUGAAUAAUUUUGUUCUGUUGUAUUUCUGAAGAACUUGAUUGUUACAACAACAGUGCAUUACAGAGAUCCAGAGCCACAGACCAUGAACAAAGUUAAGGAUAUCAGUGUUAAAGGACAACGUCUUGAGGAAACAAACUCAAAGGCAAAAACCUUUUGCAAGAUGAUGUCAACAACAGCAGCACCAGUUCCUGGGCCCAAAGGAAAGAUGGUGACAGGUGAUGUCAGCAAACUGCAGCCUGGCAUCCAAUAGGGUCCCCUGGGAUCUCCUGCAGCCUAUAAACCAGUAUGUACAUAUGUGUGUGUUCACUGAAAGAACAGAUGUCCCACCACCUUAAUACCACAAAGUUAUCUGAGUUAUAAAAAUAGAACAGAAAGCAGUACACAUUCCUGAAGAAUAAGGUAAGCAGUUUUCAGCUCCUUGUGUGUAGGCAUCCACACCAAUGUCAAGCCAGAUUAUUUCACUAACUGUGAUAAAUGUGAACAUAUUUUGUCAUUGUUAGUCAUUCUUUGCACUCGAUAAAGGUUAAAUACUUAAUAUUUUCUCAAACGGAUAUUUCCCUGAACUGAGAGAGUACUGUGACGGUUCCGUUCAGGACUAAAGCUUUAUGGAUGGGCUGCCCUCAUAUACUCCUAGUGUAUAGACAUGUUAAGUGUGCCACAGUGUUCCUCCUUGGUAAGCCUACUUUGGUACCAUGGUACUGGAUGAUUACCAAAUUCAUAAUAUUACAAUGGUGGGGUACAACAGGGCUACAGGCACUUUUAAUAAUUUUUUUUUUUUCCAAAACACUAAAAAACAAAAAAACUACACCACUUUCCUAAACACCUGUUUGUCGCUAUGCACUGCUAAAUUUUCCUGAUCUAUGAGGUCAUCCAUGAAAUGUCUAAAGCCUAAUUUUGAGGUAAUUAAAUCUAGCAUUUAAUCAUUUUAAAAUGUUUCAAAUUUAUGUAGCUAAUGAAAUACCCUGAAAUUAUUACAUUUAUUUUGAGACAAAAUACUGACAGUAUUUUUUAAUUCAAUAUGAUUAAAAUAGUUUUUAAUAACUGUCCAAUGAGUGAAAGGAUUUGGCAGUGUCAGAAAUUAAUAAAUGCCACUGAUAUAGACAAAAAUGAAGACAAAAUUCAAAAUGUGGGGACAAAAAAUGCCCCUGUAAUGAAUUAUUCUUUUUAAGUUUUGUUUGUAUCAUAGAUUUGAUUCUAGGCUGAGUAAAAUGUCAUAUCAUACAAAACAUUGUAUUGAUGCUGAUAUAAUUUUCUAGUUACCUUAUUGCUCUGCUUUAAAAUGUAUUUUAAUGAAUUGAUUAAAAACAUUUUACAUUACACAUAGUGUUUUAUAAGGUUAGGAAAAUAUGUCCUUAUAAAGCAAAAAAUGCCCCUGAAAAUCAGUUUCGAGGGGAAAAUUUUGCCCCUUAAUUAAAUAAAAAAAAACUCAAACAAUAAAUUGCAUUUCCAAAGAUGAUAAUUGAGGUAAAAAGCUCCCUUGUUUCUGGGCCUAAAAGCCACUCAUAAAACACACUGUUUUUUUAAGUGGGGCAAAAUAGAUUUGUAAUGAAGGAUUUUCACAGUCACUGUGAUCAUCAAUCCCAAUGGAGAUUUAUUUGUUUAUAGAAUACUAUAUAUAUAUAGUAUUCUAUAAUACUAUAUAUGUAAUCUGCAUAUAAUCUGAACAGCUAUAAAGACCCUCUCAAGUAUAUUUCUUGUGCCGAUUCAAUAAUUUUUAUUUCAUUCUAACAGAUUAUUAGCAGCUGAAUUUUAAACUGAAGUUCAUCAUUUAAAGCGCCUCGCUGACCUCUACUGGUGAUACUGACACACUGCUCAUCUGGUGUGUUCAAGGAAGCAAUGCAGGAUUUUAACUCUUCUGUUUGUGUGCGGGAUAUUCAAAAUGGGUGUCUUUUGUAUGUUUUAAUUAUGACUUUAAUAAAGAAUAGAAAAAGCCAACUAAUAGUCAUUUUAUUUGUAACACUGUAGUUUGCUAAUGUUUUUAGUUUUUGGGCUUGUCCACAGCCGGAUUUUCAACUUCAGCUUGUUGUGUUAGCCAAUGCCACAUUUUGGUUAAAAACACAAAUGAAGAAAUAAAGCCAGAAUGUAUUUGAUCUCUUUCUUUAUAAAGGCCUACACAUUUUAUAUUUAGGCUGACAUAA